CCUACGGGAGGCAGCAGUGAGGAAUAUUGGUCAAUGGACGAGAGUCUGAACCAGCCAAGUAGCGUGAAGGAUGACUGCCCUAUGGGUUGUAAACUUCUUUUAUAUGGGAAUAAAAUGCUCUACGUGUGGGAUUUUGUAUGUACCAUAUGAAUAAGGAUCGGCUAACUCCGUGCCAGCAGCCGCGGUAAUACGGAGGAUCCGAGCGUUAUCCGGAUUUAUUGGGUUUAAAGGGAGCGUAGGUGGAUUGUUAAGUCAGUUGUGAAAGUUUGCGGCUCAACCGUAAAAUUGCAGUUGAAACUGGCAGUCUUGAGUACAGCAGAGGUGGGCGGAAUUCGUGGUGUAGCGGUGAAAUGCUUAGAUAUCACGAAGAACUCCGAUUGCGAAGGCAGCUUACUGGACUGCAACUGACACUGAUGCUCGAAAGUGUGGGUAUCAAACAGGAUUAGAUACCCCGGUAGUC
rnacentral:rRNA from 1 species